CGAGUUAGGGUCCAUCAAGGGCCCGACCCUCCCAACCCUUUGCUUAUUAUACCCUUGUGUUGCUUCGGUAGGUCUGGCCUCGUCCCUACCGGAGGACCGUCAAACGUCCUCUGGAGAGUGCCUACCGAUAGCCCAUACCAAAACUCUUGAACAAAACAUGUCUUGUCUGAGUACACCAAAAAAAUUAAAGCAAAACUUUCAACAACGGAUCUCUUGGUUCUGGCAUCGA
rnacentral:misc_RNA from 1 species